rnacentral:rRNA from 1 species
AUUGAACGCUGGCGGCAGGCCUAACACAUGCAAGUCGAGCGGAGCGGCGGACGGGUGAGUAAUGCCUAGGAGUCUGCCUGGUAGUGGUGGAUACAGUCCUGAAACGGGCGCUAAUAACUAAUCCUAUCAGAUGAGUCUAGGCCGGAUUAGCUAGUUGGGGGGGUAAAGGCCUACCAAGGCGACGAUCCGUCGCUGGUCUGAGAGGAUGAUCAGUCACACUGGAACUGAGACACGGCCCAGACUCCUACGGGAGGCAGCAGUGGGGAAUAUGGGACAAUGGGCGAAAGCCUGAUCCAGCCAUGCCGCGUGUGUGAAGAAGGUCUUCGGAUUGUAAAGCACUUUAAGUUGGGAGGCGUUACCAACAGAAGAAGCACCGGCUAACUCCGUGCCAGCAGCCGCGGUAAUUC